CUAUGAAGGAACACCUGAAACACUGGUAGCAGAUUUUGAAAGGAUAUUGAUCUGAAAGCAUGUCCAGAAGCUUUGGAUAACUCCUAACCUUGUCCAAACCAAGGAAAUAAACAGUUGAAACUGCAAGAGGAGGAGGAGGAGAAAGAAGGGUAACUGAAACAACUAGAUUUCCUUGGAGGACUGUUUCCAGCUUGUUGUCACAGACAAAAAACAUGCUAGAGGUAAAUAUGGGAAACACCUGUUUGAUGGAUUGGAUUGCAGUCAGUGGUUAUUGAACGAUAAUUUACUGUUACAUCUAAUUAAAAGCAGACCAUUUGUGAGCAAAUCAAUACAAUAAAACUUACCUGAAGAAUUUAAACAACCUAGUGUCCACCUUUUACAGCAUCUCUCAUUGGCUCAACGUGAAUUUUUUUCUCAGUAACUUGUUUAGGAUUUGAAAGCUGCAAAGAUAUAUCUUUCACGUGACCUGAUGUUCAGUGUUAGAUGGAGCUGCUAGACAGCUUACUUAAUUAGUUCAGCUAAUGAUUCAAUUUCUGAAACCUAAUGCCAAUUUGUAUUUACACAGCAGCUCUCAGUGUGUUUCUCUAAAGCAACACUUAAGUUUUUAAAUGCUAGUAGUUAAUAAGCAUUUGGAGCUGAAGAUUAUAGUUGUAAAUACAGGGUAAAGUGCAUACAGGGAUGCUGUUGUCAAAAACAAACCCAC
rnacentral:lncRNA from 1 species